rnacentral:rRNA from 1 species
GAUGAACGCUGGCGGCGUGCCUAAUACAUGCAAGUCGAGCGAACAGACGAGGAGCUUGCUCCUCUGACGUUAGCGGCGGACGGGUGAGUAACACGUGGAUAACCUACCUAUAAGACUGGGAUAACUUCGGGAAACCGGAGCUAAUACCGGAUAAUAUAUUGAACCGCAUGGUUCAAUAGUGAAAGACGGUUUUGCUGUCACUUAUAGCUGGAUCCGCGCCGCAUUAGCUAGUUGGUAAGGUAACGGCUUACCAAGGCAACGAUGCGUAGCCGACCUGAGAGGGUGAUCGACCACACUGGAACUGAGACACGGUCCAGACUCCUACGGGAGGCAGCAGUAGGGAAUCUUCCGCAAUGGGCGAAAGCCUGACGGAGCAACGCCGCGUGAGCGAUGAAGGUCUUCGGAUCGUAAAACUCUGUUAUUAGGGAAGAACAAAUGUGUAAGUAACUAUGCACGUCUUGACGGUACCUAAUCAGAAAGCCACGGCUAACUACGUG